rnacentral:tRNA from 2 species
GCGCUCGUAGCUCAGCUGGAUAGAGCGCUAGCCUCCGGAGCUAGAGGUCACAGGUUCGAAUCCUGUCGGGCGCA